rnacentral:tRNA from 3 species
GGAGAGAUGCCGGAGAGGCUAAACGGCCCUGACUCGAAAUCAGUGGGCGGCGUAUGCCGCACGUGGGUUCGAAUCCCACUCUCUCCGCCA